GAUGAAGAACGUAGUGAAAUGCGAUAAGUAAUGCGAAUUGCAGAAUCCGUGAGUCAUCGAAUCUUUGAACGCACAUUGCGCCCACUGGUAUUCCGGUGGGCAUGCCUGUUCGAGCGUCAUUAUCCUCCCUCAAACCCCGGGUUUGGUGUUGGACCCAAGUUGUGUGAACAACUGGUCUCAAAGACAAUGACGGCGUCCGUGGGACCCUCGGUGCAACGAGCUUUUAGGAGCACGCAUCGAGUUGCAAGGACCUUCCGGGCCGGUCUCCUUUACCAUUUUACAAGGUUGACCUCGGAUCAGGUAGGAAUACCCGCUGAACUUAAGCAUAUCAAUAAGCGGAGGA
rnacentral:misc_RNA from 1 species